rnacentral:rRNA from 1 species
UCAACUUUAUUAGAAGAGACGCAUUUAUUAGAUAAAAAGCCAAUGCAUGCUUUUACAGUAUGAAAAUUGGUGAUUUAUAAUAACUUAGCAAAUCGCAAAGUGAAAACAGGCGAUAAAUCAUUCAAGUUUCUGACCUAUCAGCUUUCGACGGUAUGGUAUUGGCUUACCGUGGCAGUGACGGUUAACGGGGGAUUAGGGUUCGAUUCCGGAGAGGGAGCCUGAGAAACGGCUACCACAUCUAAGGAAGGCAGCAGGCGCGCAAAUUACCCAAUUCUAACAGUUUGAGAGAGGUAGUAACAAGAAAUAACAAUACAAGGCAGUUAAAAUGCUUUGUAAUUGGAAUGAUAGAAAUUUAAACCCUUUUUAAAGUAUCAAUUGGAGGGCAAGUCUGGUGCCAGCAGCCGCGGUAAUUCCAGCUCCAAUAGCGUAUAUUAAAAUUGUUGCAGUUAAAAAGCUCGUAGUUGAAGUUCUGCUAAAAGUAACCGGUCUGCUUUGAAUAAAAGUGGUAUCUUGGUAUGUAUUUAGCAAUGAUGUCCUUUGAAGUGUUUUUUACUUUAUUGUAAUAAAGCAUAUUCAGGACUUUUACCUUGAGAAAA